rnacentral:rRNA from 1 species
GUUUGAUCAUGGCUCAGGAUGAACGCUAGCGGGAGGCCUAACACAUGCAAGCCGAGCGUAUUUGUCCUUCGGGACAGAGAGAGCGGCGUACGGGUGCGGAACACGUGUGCAACCUGCCUUUAUCUGGGGGAUAGCCUUUCGAAAGGAAGAUUAAUACCCCAUAACAUACGAUACGGCAUCGUAUCAUAUUGAAAACUCCGGUGGAUAGGGAUGGGCACGCGCAAGAUUAGAUAGUUGGUGAGGUAACGGCUCACCAAGUCAAUGAUCUUUAGGGGGCCUGAGAGGGUGAUCCCCCACACUGGUACUGAGACACGGACCAGACUCCUACGGGAGGCAGCAGUGAGGAAUAUUGGACAAUGGGUGAGAGCCUGAUCCAGCCAUCCCGCGUGAAGGACUAAGGCCCUAUGGGUUGUAAACUUCUUUUAUACUGGGAUAAACCUACUUACGUGUAAGUAGCUGAAGGUACAGUAUGAAUUAAGCACGGCUAACUCCGUGCCAGCAGCCGCGGUAAUACGGAGGGUGCAGGCGUUAUCCGGAUUUAUUGGUUAAGGGUCCGUAGCG